GCUCUUAGAGCAUCCGCAUUAACGGAUUUAAGAGGUUCAUGGGCUCGAAUUCCUAGGUCCGAAUUGAUAAAAGAAAAUGAAAAAUGCAUUUAAUUCGGUGAACCGAUUCUUCCCCGUGAACCUGAAGAGGGGAGUUCAAGCCACGCGUCGUGCUCUCAGUCGCCUGCUCCUCCAAAAGCACCUCUAAUCAAUGUCGACGGAACGAGAAGUAGUCUGUGUCACCGGCGCCAGUGGCUGCAUCGGAUCGUGGCUCAUACAUCUGCUCCUCCUCCGCGGCUACUCCGUUCACGCCACCGUGAAAAACCUCUAGGAUGAGAAAGAGACGAAACAUCUGGAAGCUCUCGAAGGUGCAUCCACGAGCCUCCAUCUGUUCGAGAUGGAUCCACUGAAUUACGAAACUGUUUCCGCCGCCGUCAACGGCUGUGCCGGCGUUUUCCACCUCGCACCUCCCUGUAUCGUCGACGAAGUCCAAGAUCCUCAGUUUGAAGAGAAAGAAAGAGCCUGAGCCUGAGCCUGUAUAUACACGUAUACAGUUGAACACAAGAAGAGCUCUCAGUUGUUUCUGACAAGUUAGCCAUUGAUUGUUUUGGUUCUAACAGGAUUGUUCCACCUCCUGGUGCUCUUUAUGAUCCUAUUGGCCCGGGUUUUGAGACUGGCCGAUUUGGGAGGGAAUCUCAAAGGAGCAGCCGAGGGGAUAUUCAUCCUGAUCUUCAGCAUUGUUCCCGCGGUUUUGGUUCAGAUUAUAUGUAGGUCAAAAGUAAAGCCAGCUCUGUUGGUAUGUAUACAUAUACAUGUGCGAACUAGACCUUUGUGGUAGAAUGAAUUGGAUCUUAGAUGUACUAGGUUGUGAUUGUUAUAUAUUUAUAUUGCAAGAUGACUUCGUUCA